rnacentral:rRNA from 1 species
AUUGAACGCUGGCGGCAUGCCUUACACAUGCAAGUCGAACGGCAGCAUAGGAGCUUGCUCCUGAUGGCGAGUGGCGAACGGGUGAGUAAUAUAUCGGAACGUGCCCUAGAGUGGGGGAUAACUAGUCGAAAGAUUAGCUAAUACCGCAUACGAUCUAAGGAUGAAAGUGGGGGAUCUCAAGACCUCAUGCUCGUGGAGCGGCCGAUAUCUGAUUAGCUAGUUGGUGGGGUAAAAGCUCACCAAGGCGACGAUCAGUAGCUGGUCUGAGAGGACGUCCAGCCACACUGGGACUGAGACACGGCCCAGACUCCUACGGGAGGCAGCAGUGGGGAAUUUUGGACAAUGGGGGCAACCCUGAUCCAGCAAUGCCGCGUGAGUGAAGAAGGCCUUCGGGUUGUAAAGCUCUUUUGUCAGGGAAGAAACGGUGAGAGCUAAUAUCUCUUGCUAAUGACGGUACCUGAAGAAUAAGCACCGGCUAACUACGUGCCAGCAGCCGCGGUAA